rnacentral:rRNA from 1 species
GACGAACGCUGGCGGCGUGCUUAACACAUGCAAGUCGAACGGAAAGGCCCUGCUUGCAGGGUACUCGAGUGGCGAACGGGUGAGUAACACGUGGGUGAUCUGCCCUGCACUUCGGGAUAAGCCUGGGAAACUGGGUCUAAUACCGGAUAGGAGCCAUUUUUAGUGUGAUGGUUGGAAAGUUUUUUCGGUGUAGGAUGAGCUCGCGGCCUAUCAGCUUGUUGGUGGGGUAAUGGCCUACCAAGGCGGCGACGGGUAGCCGGCCUGGGAGGGUGGACGGCCACAUUGGGACUGGGAUACGGCCCAGACUCCUACGGGAGGCAGCAGUGGGGAAUAUUGCACAAUGGGCGCAAGCCUGAUGCAGCGACGCCGCGUGGGGGAUGACGGCCUUCGGGUUGUAAACUCCUUUCGCUAGGGACGAAGCUUUUUGUGACGGUACCUAGAAAAGAAGCACCGGCUAACUACGUG